GGACUUGAAAUGCGCGCCGCCCUGUUCCAUAUGUGGAGUGUUCCCGCAAAACGGGGACUAUGGACAUAAACGCGCUCGUAAUAAGCGGAUCGGACCCGGGGGCGGUACCCGGCGGCUCCACCAGACACCCCGGCAUUGGCGGGACAUGGGGCCGAAACAGGAUCGACGAACGUCUAAAGGGGUUAUGCUUUGUCCCGGUGAGGUACCACCGUUAUCGGUCCGAAACGUACAGUUGCCAAUGACAACCGUGCUCCGGUGGCCGUUGCUGCGUAAGCGGUAACGAAAACCGAAACCAAGCCCUUACGCUUAGCCGCGUAAGGCGGGGUUCGCAGGCACCUGGCAACAGAAGCCUGCACU
rnacentral:tmRNA from 1 species